rnacentral:tRNA from 2 species
AUGACUAUGGCGGAAUUGGUAGACGCGAUUAGUUUAGGUCUAAUUUAUUUUUAAUAAUAUGGGUUCAAAUCCCAUUAGUCAUA